CCUGGGUAGAUGGAACUGACUUCAAAACAUCUGAAAAGUUCUGGGAUAAAGGACAGCCAGACAACUGGGACUACCGUGUGGAUGGGGAGGACUGUGCGCAGAUUCAUGGGAUUAAACGUGGACAAACGUACCGGCAUUGGAAUGAUGCAGACUGUUCUUUAAACUAUAGAUACAUUUGUGAAGCACAGGACAAAUCCAAACCUUCAUAGAUCCAUUCACUCUUGUCUAUUGACUUGAGACCGCUCCUCACACAUGACACACUCAGGGCACAGAAAAGGUCAACUUGGAAUCCUGAUGGUCUCAAUAGGCAAAGGCCAACCAUGCAAAUAAGGAUAUUUAGAACUUUGAAAAUAGGAUGAAUGAACUAGCUAAGGGGUAUCUUCUAAUAAUUCUAGGCAUCAAUGCUACUUAGUGGUUUUAUCGCUGUUUUAUUUUUCAUAAACUUCAGUGACUAGCAGCACAGUGAAAACAGGGUUGUUGUAGCAUGUAGCAUGUAGCAUUUAGGAUGUGUAAAAAAAUAACUGCUAGUUAAGAGAAUGUUAGACUACCAUGGUUGUAUGGGUAACAUGGGUAACCACUAGUGUCUUGCAUCUUGUUGAGAUGGUUUAACCGAAGCUGUUUGUAGGAUGAAGUAGUUUAAUCUUGAAAAUGAUAUGGGAGUGUCUUCCAUGUUAUACCAUGUUACAUGUGUGAAAUGAUGCAUAGUAUGUUACAUUAUGGGAAUACUGCUAUAAAUACAACAUACUAUGUCAGACAUUUUACUGAUGUGUAGAAAUACUUAAAUUCCAUGCUUUCCCAAUUAAAUACAUGACAGAUGCUGACCAGAAAACAAAAUUCUGAAGAAGAUGAUCUCUAGUACACAAUGUACCCAGUUUAUAUGCCUCCAUUUUAUCAUAUGAACAUUGGAUAUGAUGUAUUGAAUUUUAAACUACUGCGGCAAUGACUUUUUGUGUUAACGUGUAAGCCUCAUUUGGUGGGAGGAAUAAAUAAAACUUUGAACCCUCAGAGACCAAAGCUGUCACAGAAAAUCAAAUGACCUAGGAGACCAGUUGAGAAGGAGGUAAGAGAUGUAAGGAUAGGAUGUCGGUUUUGUUUGAUUUCCUUUUCUUAUAAUUUAUUUAAUUUUAUUAAUAUGUUUUGUUAUUAUAUUAUGUUAUGAUGUAUUUGGACUUGCAGUAUUAACGUCUUCACACUAAUCACUGGCAAUUAAAUAUAAUCUGAUCCUAAAUGUGAUACAAUGUAUAGACAUUUUUCACAAGUCAUUUAAAAUAAUUAACUCCACUGCCAUUCAAACCAUACAGUAUAGCCUACACACAGGACAAAUCCAAACCUUCAUAGAUUCAUUCACUCUUGUCUACUGACUUGAGACCGCUCCUCAAACAUGACACACUCAGGGCACAGAAAAGGUCAACUUGAAAUCCUGAUGGUCUCAAUAGGCAAAGGAAAAUAGGAUGAAAUUUGAAAAUAGGAUGAAAUAUAAUACAGAUUUUUUCUUCUUCUGUGGACUAACAAUAAGUAUUUUGUU